rnacentral:rRNA from 1 species
CAGUCGCCGCGGGAAUACGUAGGUGGCAAGCGUUGUCCGGAAUUAUUGGGCGUAAAGGGCUCGCAGGCGGUUUCUUAAGUCUGAUAUGAAAGCCCCCGGCUCAACCGGGGAGGGUCAUUGGAAACUGGGAAACUUGAGUGCAGAGGAGGAGAGUGGAAUUCCACGUGUAGCGGUGAAAUGCGUAGAGAUGUGGAGGAACACCAGUGGCGAAGGCGACUCUCUGGUCUGUAACUGACGCUGAGGAGCGAAAGCGUGGGGAGCGAACAGGAUUAGAUACCCCAGUAGUCCCUGUCUCUUAUAC